rnacentral:rRNA from 1 species
AUUGAACGCUGGCGGCAGGCUUAACACAUGCAAGUCGAGCGGGGGAAGGUAGCUUGCUACCGGACCUAGCGGCGGACGGGUGAGUAAUGCUUAGGAAUCUGCCUAUUAGUGGGGGACAACAUCUCGAAAGGGAUGCUAAUACCGCAUACGUCCUACGGGAGAAAGCAGGGGAUCUUCGGACCUUGCGCUAAUAGAUGAGCCUAAGUCGGAUUAGCUAGUUGGUGGGGUAAAGGCCUACCAAGGCGACGAUCUGUAGCGGGUCUGAGAGGAUGAUCCGCCACACUGGGAAUGAGACACGGACCAGACUCCUACGGGGGGCAGCAGUGGGGAAUAUUGGACAAUGGGGGGAACCCGGAUCCAGCCAUGCCGCGUGUGUGAAGAAGGCCUUAUGGUUGUAAAGCACUUUAAGCGAGGAGGAGGCUACUCUAGUUAAUACCUAGGGAUAGUGGACGUUACUCGCAGAAUAAGCACCGGCUAACUACGUGCCAGCCGCCGCAGUAA